CCGCAAGGCCUUGCGCGUUUGGAGCGGCCGAUGGCAGAUUANGUAGUUGGUGGGAUAAAAGCUUACCAAGCCGACGAUCUGUAGCUGGUCUGAGAGGACGACCAGCCACACUGGGACUGAGACACGGCCCAGACUCCUACGGGAGGCAGCAGUGGGGAAUUUUGGACAAUGGGCGAAAGCCUGAUCCAGCAAUGCCGCGUGCAGGAUGAAGGCCUUCGGGUUGUAAACUGCUUUUGUACGGAACGAAAAGGCUCUGGCUAAUACCUGGGGCACAUGACGGUACCGUAAGAAUAAGCACCGGCUAACUACGUGCCAGCAGCCGCGGUAAUACGUAGGGUGCGAGCGUUAAUCGGAAUUACUGGGCGUAAAGCGUGCGCAGGCGGUUUUGUAAGACAGAGGUGAAAUCCCCGGGCUCAACCUGGGAACUGCCUUUGUGACUGCAAAGCUGGAGUGCGGCAGAGGGGGAUGGAAUUCCGCGUGUAGCAGUGA
rnacentral:rRNA from 1 species